rnacentral:lncRNA from 1 species
CUCCAUAGGAAACCUCGCUUAUGCACCCAGAUCUGGUCUGUGAUUUGCUACAGAAAGACAAGAAAUGGCCUGUGGCUUCUUGCUAGAGAGAAGAUACCAUAGAAGGAAGACCCUGCGAAGAUAAAGGGAAGAGACAACCAUCUGCAAGCAGAGGAGAGAGGCUUCAAAAGAAACCAACUCUGCCAGCACCUUGAUCUUGGACUUCUAACAUCUAGAACCAUGAGAAAAUAAAUUUCUGCUGUUUAAGCCA